rnacentral:rRNA from 1 species
UGAACGCUGGCGGUAGGCCUAACACAUGCAAGUCGCACGGCAGCACAGUAAGAGCUUGCUCUUACGGGUGGCGAGUGGCGGACGGGUGAGGAAUACAUCGGAAUCUACUUUUUCGUGGGGGAUAACGUAGGGAAACUUACGCUAAUACCGCAUACGACCUACGGGUGAAAGCAGGGGAUCUUCGGACCUUGCGCGAUUGAAUGAGCCGAUGUCGGAUUAGCUAGUUGGCGGGGUAAAGGCCCACCAAGGCGACGAUCCGUAGCUGGUCUGAGAGGAUGAUCAGCCACACUGGAACUGAGACACGGUCCAGACUCCUACGGGAGGCAGCAGUGGGGAAUAUUGGACAAUGGGCGCAAGCCUGAUCCAGCCAUACCGCGUGGGUGAAGAGGGCCUUCGGGUUGUAAAGCCCUUUUGUUGGGAAAGAAAAGCAGCAGGUUAAUACCCCGCUGUUCUGACGGUACCCAAAGAAUAAGCACCGGCUAACUUCGUG